UAUAAGUAAAAUGAUGUGUAAUACAUUAACAAUUGAUAAGUAAGUCUGUAUUCUCACCUUGAGUAGCUCCUCCACAACAUCUUUGUGUCCAAAGUAGCAGGCCAGAUCCAACCUGCCAACAACAAAUUGCACAAUAAUUGAUGUAGCCUAUCUGACAUUACAGACUGACGCUUACUAAAUCUGCAACAACGUUGCAAUUUGGGCUGUGACUUAAUUAGCAUACGUCAUGAAAAUAAAUGCACUUCUGGGUUCAUAUCGACUCACCUCACCUGGGCAAAGUGUUAUUGUUAGAUUCCAUGCGCAACAGGUGAUUAAAAAAACAUUCAUCAAUCAGCUUUGAUAUCCGGGAAAUUUGCCUAUAUUCCGGGGCUUGAAAUCAAUAUUUGGUGGUUGCAACAGUCGCCCACAGAAAAGUCACGUUUUAGAGGAGUGUGUGGUCGGCUACGCUAGACUGUUUUACUUCUAAACGUUCGUUAUCAACUUAAUUUCAAUAGUGAGCAGGACAUAUAUUCUAACUUACAUUCGUUUCGCAGUAAAGAACAUCCACUAUAGAAAAGGUUGCGUUGACAAUUGACAGCGCAUAUCGUGAAAUUGGAUCUCAGCUGACAAGGACUGGAACUUGUGGACACACGUGAUCAAUUUAAAGCGUUUCAUCGUCAUUGGAAAUACCAACACUGUGCCCUCACCAGGCGGUCCUGGAUCCUGGGCUGGCUGGAGGGUCGUGGUGAUUGCAGCUACACACUGGAUCACAACUUUUGGACUGGCUGGAGGAAUGACCACCAAGGAACGAGACUGUGUGGAGAAUAUGAACCAAACUCCUGACAAAUGCCCUGGCCAUGAAUAUGAACUGGCGAGGGGCCAAUGGGAAGCAGGCAUUCGAACGGCUUGCCCUGAAAGGCAUAUUUCUCAGUAAGUUCCCUUUCAGGGCUACUGCAUGGGAAAGAUAGGCAAAAUGUCACAAUUUAUACAUUAAUCUUAAAAGGAGUGAAUAAUGGUGCCAGGGAGAAGAUGGCUGCCGUUUUACGGGCUCCUAAACAAUUGUGCUAUUGUGUGUGUUUUCGCGUUAUUUGUAACAUAUUUUGUACGUAAUGUUUCUUCCACCGUCUCUUAUGACCGAAAAUAGAUUCUGGACAUCAGGACAGUGACUACUCACCUCGUACUGGACAACGUUUUUUAUUUUAUUGUAACGAGUUGAACGUGAAGGAUUUACUUCAGACACCCAGCAAGGCCCAAAUCCCUGUCAUUCACAUAAAGAAAAGACAGAGAUUUCGGGGACGUGGGUCAGAGUGCCUUGUAAGGAUCCGACGGCGAGUGGGUCAUCUGCCUCUGCCAUCA
rnacentral:lncRNA from 1 species